UACGGAGGGUGCGAGCGUUGUUCGGAAUUACUGGGCGUAAAGGGCGUGUAGGCGGUUUUUUAAGUCAGGGGUGAAAUCCCAGGGCUCAACCCCGGAACUGCCCCUGAAACUGGGAAGCUAGAGUUUUGGAGAGGCGAGUGGAAUUCCCAGUGUAGAGGUGAAAUUCGUAGAUAUUGGGAAGAACACCAGUGGCGAAGGCGACUCGCUGCACAAGUACUGACGCUGAGGUGCGAAAGCGUGGGGAGCAAACAGG
rnacentral:rRNA from 1 species